rnacentral:rRNA from 1 species
AUUGAACGCUGGCGGCAGGCCUAACACAUGCAAGUCGAGCGAGCGGCGGACGGGUGAGUAAUGUCUGGGAAACUGCCUGAUGGAGGGGGAUAACUACUGGAAACGGUAGCUAAUACCGCAUACCAUCAGAUGUGCCAGGAUGGGAUUAGCUAGUAGGUGGGGUAACGGCUCACCUAGGCGACGAGCCCUACCUGGUCUGAGAGGAUGCCCAGCCACACUUGAACGUGGAAACGGUCCAGACGCCUACGGGAGGCAGCAGUGGGGAAUAUUGCCCAAUGGGCGCAAGCUGGAUGCAGCCAUGCCGCGUGGGUGAAGAAGGCCUUCGGGUUGUAAAGCACUUUCAGCGGGGAGGCGUUACCCGCAGAAGAAGCACCGGCUAACUCCGUGCCAGCAGCCGCGGUAAUUC